rnacentral:rRNA from 2 species
UGGAUCCAGACUUUGAUCCUGGCUCAGGACGAACGCUGGCGGCACGCCUAACACAUGCAAGUCGAACGGACGAAGGAGAGCUUGCUCUUCUAAGUUAGUGGCGGACGGGUGAGUAACACGUGAGCAACCUGCCUUUAAGAGGGGGAUAGCUUCUGGAAACGGAUGGUAAUACCCCAUAACAUAUCGGUAUGGCAUCAUACAGAUAUCAAAGAUUUAUCGCUUAGAGAUGGGCUCGCGUCUGAUUAGAUAGUUGGUGAGGUAACGGCUCACCAAGUCAACGAUCAGUAGCCGGACUGAGAGGUUGAACGGCCACAUAGGGACUGAGACACGGCCCAGACUCCUACGGGAGGCAGCAGUGGGGAAUAUUGCACAAUGGGGGGAACCCUGAUGCAGCGAUGCCGCGUGGAGGAAGAAGGUUUUCGGAUUGUAAACUCCUUUUAUUGGGGACGAUAAUGACGGUACCCAAAGAAAAAGCUCCGGCUAACUACGUGCCAGCAGCCGCGGUAAUACGUAGGGAGCGAGCGUUGUCCGGAAUUACUGGGUGUAAAGGGAGCGUAGGCGGGAUGGCAAGUCAGGCGUGAAAACUAUGAGCUCAACUCAUAGACUGCACUUGAAACUGCUGUUCUUGAGUGAAGUAGAGGUAAGCGGAAUUCCUAGUGUAGCGGUGAAAUGCGUAGAUAUUAGGAGGAACAUCGGUGGCGAAGGCGGCUUACUGGGCUUUUACUGACGCUGAGGCUCGAAAGCGUGGGGCGCAAACAGGAUUAGAUACCCUGGUAGUCCACGCUGUAAACGAUGAUUACUAGGUGUGGGGGGACUGACCCCUUCCGUGCCGCAGUUAACACAAUAAGUAAUCCACCUGGGGAGUACGGCCGCAAGGCUGCAACUCAAAUG